GACGAACGCUGGCGGCGUGCUUAACACAUGCAAGUCGAACGGAAAGGCCUCUUUCGGGGGGUACUCGAGUGGCGAACGGGUGAGUAACACGUGAGUAACCUGCCCUUGUCUUUGGGAUAACUUCAGGAAACUGGGGCUAAUACCGGAUAGGAGCUCCUGCUGCAUGGUGGGGGUUGGAAAGUUUCGGCGGUUGGGGAUGGACUCGCGGCUUAUCAGCUUGUUGGUGGGGUAGUGGCUUACCAAGGCUUUGACGGGUAGCCGGCCUGAGAGGGUGACCGGCCACAUUGGGACUGAGAUACGGCCCAGACUCCUACGGGAGGCAGCGGUGGGGAAUAUUGCACAAUGGGUGGAAGCCUGAUGCAGCAACGCCGUGUGCGGGAUGACGGCCUUCGGGUUGUAAACCGCUUUCGCUCAUGACGAAGCUUUGUGUGACGGUAGUGGGUAAAGAAGCACCGGCUAACUACGUG
rnacentral:rRNA from 1 species